UACGUAGGGGGCAAGCGUUAUCCGGAUUUAUUGGGCGUAAAGGGAACGCAGGCGGUCUUUUAAGUCUGAUGUGAAAGCCUUCGGCUUAACCGGAGUAGUGCAUUGGAAACUGGGAGACUUGAGUGCAGAAGAGGAGAGUGGAACUCCAUGUGUAACGGUGAAAUGCGUAGAUAUAUGGAAGAACACCAGUAGCGAAGGCGGCUGUCUGGUCUGCAACUGACGCUGAGGCUCGAAAGCGUGGGGAGCAAACAGG
rnacentral:rRNA from 1 species